GCUGUAUAUUCCUUUAAUUAUGUUUAGGUAUGGGCCUUGAUCCUGAUCUUACCAAGACUUUUAUUAUGAAAGGGUGUUGGAUUUUUUUCAAAUGCUUUCUCAUCAUCUAACAAGAUGAUCAUGUGGUUUUUGUCUUUGAGUUUGUUUAUAUAGUGGAUUAUGUUGAUGGAUUUCCAUAUAUUAAACCAUUCCUUAAUUACUGGGAUGAAGCCUACUUGGACAUGAUCUUUUUGAUGUGUUCUUUGAUUAGGUUUGCGAGAAUUUUAUUGAGUAUUUUUGCAUCAGUAUUCAUAAGGGAAAUUUGUCUGAAGUUCUCUUUCUUUGUUGGAUCUUUGUGUGGUUUAGGUAACAGAGUAAUUGUGGCUUCAUGGAAUGAACUGUGUAGAGUACCUUCUGUUUCUAUUUUGUGGAAUAGUUUGAGAAGAGUUGGAGUUAAGUUUUCUUUGAAGGUCUAUUAGAACUCUGCACUAAACCCAUCUGGUCCUGGACUUUCUUUGGUUGGGAGACUAUUGAUAACUGUUUCUAUUUCUUUAGAGGAAUUGGGACUGUUUAGAUCAUUAAUCUGAUCCUAAUUUAACUUUGGUACCUGGUAUCUGUCUCGGAAGUAGUCCAUUUCAUCCAGGAUUUCCAGUUUUGUUGAGUAUAGACUUUUGUAGUAGGAUCUGAUGAUGAUUUGGAUUUCCUCAGGUUCUGUUGUUAUGUCUCCUUUUUCAUUUCUGAUUUUGUUAAUUAGGAUACUGUCCCUGUGCCCUCUAAUUAGUCUGACUAAGGGUUUAUCUAUUUGUUGAUUUUCUCAAAGAAACAGCUCCUGGUUUGGUUGAUUCUUUGGAUAGUUCUUCUUGUUUCCACUUUGUUGAUUUCAUCCCUGAGUUUGAUUAUUUCCUGCCAUCUACUCCACUUGGGUGAAUUUGCUUCCUUUAGUUCUAGAGCUUCUAGGUGUGCUGUCAGGCUGCUAAGUGUACUCUCUCUCUAGUUUCUUUUUCAAGGCACUCAGGGCUAUGAUUUUUCCUCUUAGGUCUGCCUUCAUUGUGUCCCUUAAAUUUGGGUAUGUUGUGGCUUCAUUUUCAUUUAACUCUAAAGAGUCUUUAAUUUCUGUCUUUAUUUCAUCUUUGACCAAGGAAUCAUUGAGUAGAGUGUUGUCCAGAUUCCAUGUGAAUGUUGGCUUUGUGUUAUUUAUGUUGUUAUUGAAGAUCAGCCUUAGUCUGUGGUGAUCAGAUAGGAUGCAUGGGAUAAUUUCAAUAUUUUUGUAUCUGUGGAGGCUGGUUUUGUGACCAACUAUAUGGUCAAUUUUGGAGGAGGUAUUAUGUGGGCCUGAGAAGAAGGCAUAUACUUUCAUUUUAGGAAAAAAAUGUUCUGUAGAUAGCUAUUAAAUCCAUUUGUUACAUAACUUCUUUUAGUGUCCAUGUGUCUCUAUUUAGUUUCGGUUUCCAGGAUCUGUCCAUUGGUAAGAGUGGCUUGUUGAAGUCUCCCAGUAUUAUUGUGUGAGGUGAAAUGUGUGCUUUGAGCUUUACUAAAGUUCCUUUAAAUAAUGUGGCUGUCCUUGUAUUUAGCGCAUAGAUAUUCAGAAUUGAGAGUUCAUCUGGUGGAUUUUACCUUUAAUGAGUAUGAAGUGCCCCUCCUUGUCUUUUUUGAUAACUUUGGGUUGAAAGUCGAUUUUAUUCGAUAUUAGAAUUGCUACUCCAGCUUGUUUCUUCAUACCAUUUGCUUGGAAAAUUGUUUUCCAGCCUUUCAUUCUGAGGUAUUGUCUGUCUUUUUCCCUGAGAUGGGUUUCCUGUAAGCAGCAAAAUGUUGUGUCCUGUUUGUAUAGCCAGUCUGUUAGUCUAUGUCUUUUUAUUGGGGAGUUGAGUCCGUUGAUAUUAAGAGAUAUCAAGGAAAAGUAAUUGUUGCUUCCUAUUAUUUUUGUUGUUAAAGUUGGCAUUCUGUUCUUGUGGCUGUCUUCUUUUAGGUUUGUUGAAGGAUUACUUUCUUGCUUUUUCUAGGGUGUAGUUUCCGUCCUUGUGUUGGUCUUUCCCCUUUAUUAUCCUUUGAAGGGCUGAAUUUAUGGAAAGAUAUAGUGUGAAUUUGGUUUUAUUAUGGAAUAUUUUGGUUUCUCCAUCUAUAGUAAUUGAGCGAUUUGCUGGAUAUAGUAGUCUGGGCUGGCAUUUGUGUUCCCUUGGGGUCUGUAUAACAUCUGUCCGGGAUCUUCUGGCUUUCAUAGUCUUACCCUUGCUGCUUUUAAUAGUCUAUCUUUAUUUAGUGCAUUUGUUGUUCUGAUUAUUUUGUGUCAGAAGGAAUUUCUUUUCUGGUCCAGUCUAUUUGGAGUUCUGUAGGUUUCUUAUAUUUUCAUGGGCAUCUCUUUCUUUAGGUUUGGGAAGUUUUCUUCUAUAAUUUUGUUGAAUAUAUUUGCUGGCCCUUUAAUUUGAAAAUCUUCAUUCUCAUCUACUCCUAUUAUCUGUAGGUUUGGUCUUCUCAUCGUGUCCUGGAUUUCCUGGAGGUUUUAAGUUAGGAUCUUUUUGCAUUUUGCAUUUUCUUUGAUUGUUGUGCUGAUUUUCUCUAUGGAAUCUUCUGCAUCUGAGAUUCUCUCUCCAUUUCUUGUAUUCUGUUGCUGAUGCUCACAUCUAUUUUUACAGAUUUCUUUCCUAGGGUUUCUAUCUCCAGAGUUGUCUCACUUUUGGUUUUCUUUAUUGUUUCUACUUCCCUUGUUUUUAGGUGUAUUGGGGUAUGUAGGACUAGCUAAGGUGCGAGUGCUGGGUCCUGAUGAUGGUGAGUGGUCUUGGUUUCUGUUAGUAAGAUUCUUAAGUUUGCCUUUCGCCAUCUCUGGAGUUAUUUGUUAUAGUUGUCUCUGGUUGGAGCUUGUUCUUCCUGUGAUUCUGUUAGCCUCUGUCAGCAGACCUGGGAUUCUAGAUCUCUCCCGAGUCUCAGUGGUCAGAGUACUCUCUGCAGGCAAGCGCUCCUCUUUCAGGGGAGGUGUACAGAUAUCUGGUGUUCAGACUUGCCUCUUGGCUGAAGAUGAAUGCCUGAAACAGGGCCUGUCCCAGAAAAUGUGUUGCUUCUGUAGUCUGCAUGCUCACCUGCACAGACUGGUCUCUGAGGGACACAGGACACAAGAUGACUCUCUCACCUGCUCUGGUAGUCAGAGACCUCCUGGGUAGACACUUCUCUUCUGGCCGGUAAGGUGCCCAAAUGUCUGGAGCCAAAAAUGGGGUCUGUCCCAGUAGCUGUGUAGCUUCUGCCUGUCCCAGAAGCUGUGUCGCUUCUGUAGACUGCACUCUCACCUGGGCAGACUAAACUCUGAGGGAUCCGGGACCCAAGAUGGCUCCCUCACCUGCUCUGGUAGAGCCCUCCUGAGUGGAUACCUUUCCUCUGGCGGGGAAGGUGCCCGGAUAUCUGGAGCCCACAACUGGGUAUGUCCCUGAAGCUGUGUUACUUCUGCUAGUCCCAGAAGCUGUGUGGCUUUUGUAGUCCUCACUCCCCAUUUCUUCUUAAUUAGGCUUCUUGACCUCUGGGGUAUUGGGAAUAUAUUAUUCAGUUGGUUGGAGUCUAUAUAUUAUAGGAUGUUGACCAGCAUCCCUACCUAUGUCCAGAAGCACCUCUCCAGUAUGGCCAUCAAAACUUUCACUAGACCAAGCCAAGUGAUUUCUUUUGUGGAAUAUACCACUUCCAGCAGAGACAUGACUUACCCUUUUAUACACAUUUUAUUUUAAUUCCAUCAGAGUAGAUAUGUUUAAACACCAGGUAGGAUGUAGAGUUGGCAGUUUCCAGGGCGCAGUCAAUAAAGUUCUCUUAAAUUUUCCCAAUACUGGCUGUUCAUGUUUCCUUUGCCCUCUUCCCUACUCUGCAGAUGCUCUAUUGAUAUUUCCCACUCUGUAAAAUUCUAGGAAAAUACCUGGCUGGGUAGGUAUUUGGAUUGU
rnacentral:lncRNA from 1 species